AUUUAUGUAUAGAGGUAUAAAAGGAAAGGAUUCGGAUUUAGUAAUUCCUGAAAACAAUAUGAUCGCUUUAGUGUUAUUUCUGGCUGUUUUAUUAAGUGUUUGUGAUUGUUCCAGCUACAAAAAAUAUGAGCGAGAAGUACACUAUUUUGAUGAGGGUUUGAACGAAGUUGUUUAUAUUUCGCAAAAAAUGUACGAAGUGUCAGAGCUAGCGGAAAUUUCAUCAUGUAUUUUAAACGAAUUUGCUGCAACGGAAAUUAAUUAUUAUAGGACCGAAUUUCGUUCCAACUCUUUACGAAAUGAAAACACCUUUUCGGAAAUUACAGUCCUGAGUAAAUAUGAAUGUUCGAAAUCUGAAAUUUCGGACUGGUUUAGGCUGCAUUUUCCUGUUAAGAUACGACAAAGAAAAAUUUGGUUUCCUAAUAAUUAUUAAUUUUGUAUUUACUUUCAUGCUAUUAAAAUAAAAAUUUGGCAAUUUA